ensembl:snRNA U6 U6 spliceosomal RNA
AUGCUUACUUCAGUAGCACAUAUACUAAUAUUGGAACACUAUAGAGAAGACUGGCAUGGCCCCUGAGCAAGGAUGACUUUCAAAUCUGUAAGUGUUCCAUAUAUUU